CAUCUGUUACCAAUUACAGCCGGUCCCGCACUCGAUAGUUUUAUGUUUUGAGGGUUAUACAUAAGAACUAGGGCUUUCGUCAGCGUACAAAGGAAAAGCAUAGGCGAUUGGUAUGAGCACCUAUUUAUAAGGUAGCUUAAAAUGCCUAGGAGGCUCCCUGAAGAAAGGGAAAACAAAGGCUUAGGCCGGUGAAGGUGGAAACGGAGAGAGAGUUUCUGGAAAUUUUUGGAAGUGGGGUGCGAGGAAAGAUCAUUUCUCUUCUCUUUUUUAUAUGUACACACACACACACACACAAAGAGAUCAAACCAGAUCUUUCCUAUGCCCCCCAUUCCACUGAUUUCUAGUUCUUCUUCUCCAUUUUCUUUCUUCUUUCUUUCAUUUCAUGCCUGCACCUUCGCUUGGAGUUGCAACCAUAGUUCUUGAUAACGAAAGUUACUAGUAAGAAUUGAAUCUAUUGUAGUGGCUGAAGCCUUAGCCAAGGAUUUUCUGUUCUGGGCGACCUCUGCUAAAAGGGUUAUCUUUUGUUUUAUGUGUUGAUGCUUCUUUUGUCCACUGAUAAAACGAGUGUUGCUGUUGAUUGGGUCACUGGAUGCACUAGGAUAAGAUGGAUGAUGGUUACUUCUAAAUCAAUGGAUUUUUUUUUUUUAAAUUUUGAUCGGGAAAAA